rnacentral:rRNA from 1 species
GAUGAACGCUAGCGGCAGGCCUAACACAUGCAAGUCGAGGGGUAGAGUUAGCUUGCUAACUUGAGACCGGCGCACGGGUGCGUAACGCGUAUGCAAUCUACCUUGUAGAGGGGGAUAGCCCAGAGAAAUUUGGAUUAAUACCCCAUAGUAUAAUAGAGUGGCAUCAUUUUAUUAUUAAAGUUCCAACGCUACAAGAUGAGCAUGCGUCCCAUUAGUUAGUUGGUGUGGUAACGGCGCACCAAGACGAUGAUGGGUAGGGGUCCUGAGAGGGAGAUCCCCCACACUGGUACUGAGACACGGACCAGACUCCUACGGGAGGCAGCAGUGAGGAAUAUUGGUCAAUGGACGCAAGUCUGAACCAGCCAUGCCGCGUGCAGGAAGAAGGCUCUAUGGGUUGUAAACUGCUUUUGUACGGGAAGAAAUUAUCCCUCGUGAGGGAGCUGACGGACCGAAGAA